CAACUUUCAACAACGGAUCUCUUGGCUCUCGCAUCGAUGAA
rnacentral:rRNA from 1 species